AACAAAUACCAACAUUAUUAUUCUGCCCGCCAUAUUAGGUGUCAAAGUGCUUGUCUUCUCUCUGAAAAGAUAAGCUUCCUUCCCAGCCCCAAUUUAUCUGUUUUUCAGUGGAGCUGCUUCUCCAGGACUUCUGAGCCAUCUAAGCACUUGGCUACUCAGACCUCCACGGCCUCCCCUAUGAUUUCUCAACUUUCAAAACAACGGGAAGGCCUUGACACCCUAACUGCUGAAGUGGCUUCGUCUUUUGGGCUUUGAACCACGGGGACUUGGAAAUUCCGCUCCUCAAACCACAAUGCUCCAUCCCUCUUGUAUAUAUUAUCAUUCUUGUCUUUAAUAUUGUUUUUGUGUUUUUAUUGUUUCAUUCUUCCAUAUGACUCUGCCACACAUCCCUUCCCCCUCUUUAUUCUUAGAUUGUGAGUCCCUUGAGAGCCAGAAACCACAUCAAAAUUUGAUCUUUGUAUUGUUUUCCUCCAUCAAGUGAAAGCUUACAGUUACUACAAUUAAAGCCGAGUGGGAGACAUCUGGUCACCUAACUCACAGAGCAAUUGAAA